AUUGAACGCUGGCGGCAGGCCUAACACAUGCAAGUCGAGCGGAUGAAGGGAGCUUGCUCCUGGAUUCAGCGGCGGACGGGUGAGUAAUGCCUAGGAAUCUGCCUGGUAGUGGGGGAUAACGUCCGGAAACGGGCGCUAAUACCGCAUACGUCCUGAGGGAGAAAGGGGGGGAUCUUCGGACCUCACGCUAUCAGAUGAGCCUAGGUCGGAUUAGCUAUUUGGUGGGGUAAAGGCCUACCAAGGCGACGAUCCGUAACUGGUCUGAGAGGAUGAUCGGUCACACUGGGACUGAGACACGGUCCAGACUCCUACGGGAGGCAGCAGUGGGGAAUAUUGGACAAUGGGCGAAAGCCUGAUCCAGCCAUGCCGCGUGUGUGAAGAAGGUCUUCGGAUUGUAAAGCACUUUAAGUUGGGAGGAAGGGCAGUAAGUUAAUACCUUGCUGUAUUGACGUUACCAACAGAAUAAGCACCGGCUAACUUCGUG
rnacentral:rRNA from 1 species